GAGGGUUUAGCUCAGUGGUAGAGCGUAUGCUUAGCAUGCACGAGGUCCUGAGUUCAAUCCCCAGUAGCUCCA
rnacentral:tRNA from 1 species